rnacentral:tRNA from 10 species
GCGAGAGUGGCGGAAUUGGCAGACGCGCUGGACUUAGAAUCCAGUGGGACUGAUAAUCCCGUGAGGGUUCAAAUCCCUCCUCUCGCACCA